rnacentral:rRNA from 1 species
UACGUAGGGGGCGAGCGUUGUCCGGAUUCAUUGGGCGUAAAGAGCUCGUAGGCGGCUGUUCAAGUCGAUUGUGAAAACUCGGAGCUCAACUCCGAGCCUGCGUUCGAUACUGGACGGCUAGAGUCUGGUAGGGGGACCUGGAAUUCCUGGUGUAGCGGUGGGAAUGCGCAGAUAUCAAGAGGAACACCGGUGGCGAAGGCGGAUCUCUGGGCCUUACCUGACGCUGAGGCGCGAAAGCUAGGGGAGCGAACAGG